CAUCAAGCUAUGGGCUGUUUGUUGCCUACAAAUGUGAAGUUUUACCUGAGGGUGCUGGCACAGUAGUACUGAUUUUGCUGAAUGCACCGGGAAUCGUUCUGGCUUGCAUUUUGGAUGAAGCAGCUGCUUGAAAGUCUGGUGAGAGGAGGCAGCUGUUGGAAAUACGCAUUCUGGUUAACGCGUUCAGGCCAAGCCCCGUAUGUGCAGUCGCAAGGGUGCUGCUCCCAGAGGAUUCCCCUGGGUAACUUCCCUUUGAAGCGCAGCCUCCCUGCUGAAUUCAGCACCUGCUACUGUCUCCACUUCGAAAAUGGAGGCAUGCUAGUGUUUCUGGGGUCGAAAGAAGGAUAUCCUGAGAAUACAGUGGUUUUCGGUCUCA